AUCGACAUCACCAUGAAAAGCAAGCCUGUUUCUAUAGCAGGCUGUUUAAUCAAAAGAGAUCUGGAGGAUUUCUAAAAAAAAAUAAUGUAUGGAGCCAUUUCAUAAAGAAAAAUAAUAAUAAUAAUGAGAGAAGGCGUUUCAAUAAAACGUCAUGGUAAUGAAAGCCGCGCUGUGAACUCGAGACGCAGUGAAACACGGUCGAGGAUGAGGAGAGAGCCGGAUCCGCUGAGCCGCGAGUGCAGACCGGCAGACAGCAACGCCCUCCUCUCUGGACUGCUGUGGAGAGCCGGAGCGCGGCCACUCACCCGGCUUGUGUAGGGAGAUUUAACAAACACAAGACAAAAAACAGCCGCAGCAUGAAUUCAGGAUGUGUGAUUGUUCAAAUUGAAAAGCUGUUCGGAUGCAAUUCCAAACGCGCCACCCGGGACAUUGAAACGAGUUCAAAGCCGCUCUGGCGCUUGUCGGCGCGGUUGGCUUAGCGGACUGAGCACAGCUUCCCGUGCUUUGCCUGUGUGGAGCUGCAGUCCACUCAGCCUCACCUCUCUGUCGCGGGUUCGAGUCCAGCAUUCUGUUCCAAUACCCGUGGCAGACAGGCGUGAGUUUCUCGGGCUUCGUUCUCUACCGCGUCGGCGUUUUGGGGUAUCGUCGUUUUUAGGCGAUACCUCAAAACAGAUAAAAGGGGUAAGUUCACUUAACAUGACAUAGCUAAUUGUAAAAGCGGGGCCCUUUUACCUCUGCAAAGGAAAACCCCAAACCAUCCCGAAGCGGCGUGUUCCGUAACCACGCCCUCAGGUGUGUCGCAGGUGACCACGCCCCUCCCAAGUACACCUCCACAGAUGACCACGCCCCUCCCAAGUACACCUCCACGGGUGACCACGCCCCUCCCAAGUACACCUCCACAGGUGACCACGCCCCUCCCAAGUACACAUCCACAGGUGACCACGCCCCUCCCAAGUACACCUCCACAGGUGACCACGCCCCGCGCAGGUAGAUCGGAAAGAUGGCGGCCGGGGUAACACGGUAAAAUCCCAGAUAGCCUGUUUCUUCUGGUGUGCAGCCUUGGCGUGAUUCACACACACGAGGAGAAGGAUUCAGAGUCUCGGAACGAGAGCCGCUGUGUUUGCUGAAGUCUCGCGCGAUCGGAUUGUGGAGCCUCCAGUGACGUCACGGUGAAGCCCGGUGACGGAGCCAGCAGGGUGAGACUGUGCUUCCCGUGGAGACGCGACCCUCCCGGCAGCAGCAGCGCAUUGAAUCGCUCGCUGCUGUUUCUGCAAGUCGCUAAGUUGUGGUUCUUUCAGCAGGACUGUCGUUGUGUGAACGUGUUCUUGUGGUUGAUUCCGCUGCAGUGCCCGUGUUUGCUGUUCAUUGUGUUUUUUGAUGCUCUCUGUUAUUGGAUUCUGUCCUGCAUGUUAUUAAAGUUCACCCUCUGUGUA